rnacentral:rRNA from 1 species
UCCGUAGGGUGCAAGCGUUGUCCGGAAUUAUUGGGCGUAAAGCGCUCGUAGGCGGUUUGUUGCGUCGGCUGUGAAAUCCCGAGGCUCAACCUCGGGUCUGCAGUCGAUACGAGCAAACUAGAGUGUUGCAGGGGAGACUGGAAUUCCUGGUGUAGCGGUGAAAUGCGCAGAUAUCAGGAGGAACACCGGUGGCGAAGGCGGGUCUCUGGGCAACAACUGACGCUGAGGAGCGAAAGCGUGGGGAGCGAACAGG